UGACGCCUCGCAUUAUCUUCCUCCUCACCUUCGACAGAUCUCUCCGACGGGGGGCGCUGGAUGCUGGCGCCGGACGUGGACGAACGGUGAGGCGGCGCCAGUGGUGGUCGAGAAUCCAGCCCGCAAUGACACAUAAUAUGCUACUCCAAUGACACCAUGCUAUUCUCCCUGUUUCCCUAAGUCAUAGCCUGAUUUCUUGGAUAGCUUGCUGCUUGCUAUACACCUACCGGGAAGAGGGCAGACAAGUACAAUUGGGGUAGCAUACUCUGAAUUGUCUAUUACCUAAUAGAAUGAAUAGCAAUGAAAGGGGUCACCUCAUCAUUCAAUAGGUCCAGCCCAAAUUUUCUCUCCCGUUCCAAAAAAAAAAAGAUGGUGCAUGAACAGUGAAUUCAAUCCUUCCUUUGUAAGGCUGUAGUUUUGGUGUGGUGCUGAUGGAAUGGAACUGGUAACCGGCAAGAGCCGCCCAAUGACUCAACCUUCGGUGAGAGCAAAGAUAUAAUGAAGUGGGUGCUAUAUCACCAUCUCCUGAAGGUGGCAGCCAACAUUGCAGGAGGUCACAGCUGUAUUAUGAGUAUGACCCAGAUUGUGGACCAAAAAUCACUGAUAAGCUGGUCACCGUGAAGAGGCCUAGUUGUAUUUUGUAGUUCUUUUUAUAACUAGUUUACUUGUUGUCUUCUGCUUUUUAUCAGUUGUGGAUAUGGAUGCAACAAGCCGUGUAUCAUUAGUUGAAUUGCAACAGCUGUUUCAGGAAGAAAUGGGUGCCAUGGAAGCAGAUCAUACCACUGAAAAGUGUCUCUAAAGAAAUGGUUUAAGGUGAUAAAACUGAGGUGGAAAGAAGAACAAAGAUUGCAAAGAGCAGAGGUGUAUGAAGCAAUAUCGGUUUCUGGGGUAGCAGUUGCUUUUGCUGUUAUUGCGGCUGAAAAUUCUAAAAAGGAGUCUAAUGAAGACAGAGAUGCAGUCGUAGCCUCUGCAGCUGCCCUGUGUGCAAAAAGCAGCUGAAGCAACGGGGCAAAGAAAGAGCAGCUUGGGAGUGUAAUUGGCUCAGCCAUGAGUGGCACAAGUGCAGACAUCCUAACUCUCACAGCCGCAUCUUUAACCUGUAAAUUGCUCAUUCUCACUCAUCUCUUGAAAUACCUUUUGUUUUAUUUUAGGGGGGAUUACAUAUACAUCAAUCAUGUAAUUUAUUUUACAAGUUGGGUGAUAGCAAAUUAGCAAUAGCUUUGCAUUCAUUUGAAAUGGCAAUGCACACACAUAUCCAAAACCUUCACAAAUCAAUUAAUGAGUUGCUGAGAAGUGACAUGUCUGUUGCAUUACACCUAGCCAAAAUUUCUCAACACUUGUCGUUUUGUAAGGUACCCUUCUAUGUCUUGGGGUUUUGGAACUUGUCCUAACCUGUAACCACUUGGUCCAA